GCGGUUGAGAAGCUUGCGCAUAGGCGCAGUCACAAACGGACACGUUGCGUGUCAAACGUUCACUCUUCAUCGCCUGGGAAGGUCGGAGACACCGUGCACCCGCGAGGGGUAAUCGUCACCGACGAUGCAGUUGGGAACCAGAAAUGCACCGAGCGUCGUGGCUAAACCCCCGAGUCCCAACGGACGGGGCACUGACGAUCGGAUGAAACAGCCCAACAGGUGUGAUUUCAACUCUAAGAUCAAUGCGCAAGCGAAACGGCGCCCGGCAGCCCUUUCGAACUUGAUUCCGACUACUCUCUCGGCCCC
rnacentral:RNase_P_RNA from 1 species